UUAAAUUGAAGAGUUUGAUCAUGGCUCAGAUUGAACGCUGGCGGCAGGCCUAACACAUGCAAGUCGAGCGGAA
rnacentral:rRNA from 4 species